UCUGUUUGAUCCUGGCAGAGGCCACUGCUAUCGGAGUUCGAUUAAGCCAUGCGAGUCGAGAGGUGAAAGACCUCGGCAUACUGCUCAGUAACACGUGGACAAUCUAACCUACGGAGGGGGAUAACCCCGGGAAACUGGGGAUAAUACCCCAUAGACUAUGGAUGCUGGAAUGCUUUGUAGUCGAAAGGUCCGCCGCCGUAGGAUGGGUCUGCGGCCGAUUAGGUUGUUGUUGGGGUAACGGCCCAACAAGCCUGUAAUCGGUACGGGUUGUGGGAGCAAGAGCCCGGAGAUGGAUUCUGAGACACGAAUCCAGGCCCUACGGGGCGCAGCAGGCGCGAAAACUUUACAAUGCGGGAAACCGUGAUAGGGGAACUCCGAGUGCCCGUUAAAUCGGGCUGUCCAUCUGUUUAAAUAACAGGUGAAGAAAGGGCCGGGCAAGACCGGUGCCAGCCGCCGCGGUAAUACCGGCGGCUCGAGUGGUGGCCACUAUUACUGGGCUUAAAGCGUUCGUAGCUGGUUUGUUAAGUCUCUGGGGAAAUCUUCCGGCUUAACCGGAAGGCGUCUCAGGGAUACUGGCAGACUAGGGACCGGGAGAGGUGAGGGGUACUCCAGGGGUAGGAGUGAAAUCCUGUAAUCCUUGGGGGACCACCUGUGGCGAAGGCGCCUCACCAGAACGGCUCCGACAGUGAGGGACGAAAGCUGGGGGAGCAAACCGGAUUAGAUACCCGGGUAGUCCCAGCUGUAAACGAUGCGCGUUAGGUGUAUCGGUGACCACGAGUCACCGAGGUGCCGAAGAGAAAUCGUGAAACGUGCCGCCUGGGAAGUACGGUCGCAAGGCUGAAACUUAAAGGAAUUGGCGGGGGAGCACCACAACGGGUGGAGCCUGCGGUUUAAUCGGACUCAACGCCGGGAAACUCACCAGUUAAGACAGCUGAAUGAUAGUCGGGCUGAAGACUCUACUUGACUAGCUGAGAGGAGGUGCAUGGCCGUCGUCAGUUCGUACUGUGAAGCAUCCUGUUAAGUCAGGCAACGAGCGAGACCCA
rnacentral:rRNA from 1 species